GACUAAUGGUCUCAGGUUCGAACUUUCAUGGCACCUUGGUAUUGUAUGUAUAACAACCCGAUCCUUAAAUAAUAUUUAAUCAUUAAUUAAUUGGGGAGAAAGACGAUUUUGCCCUAGAGUAAUUUAGUAAGGAAAAAGUUGACUUUUGAUCGGGAAGGAAUUUGGAAAUUUCACUUGUACCGUUGCAUAGAGCGCGACGUAACGAGUCCGUAGACACGUAGUGAGCUCGAAUCGGAGUUUUAACGAAGAAAAUACGGUCAAAAUACGAAGAAGGGCAAAAUGGUAAUUUUCAAAAUCAGAAUUUUAAAACCCCAAUUCUUUCUCUUCUCCCUCUGUCUUCUCUCUCUCUCUCUCUCUCUCUCUCUCUCUCUCUCUCUCUCUCUCCCAACGUUCCCCCUCCAGCCGUCACCUUCCAUUCGCACCCAUCGCCACCACCGUGAACCACCGGCCACGAGACCAGAUCUGUUCGAACUGCCACCGCUUCCUCUUCUUUUCCCGACCGAUUCCUGCCCUUGGAACCGCCGGAAAACGUCUGAGAUGGCUUUGGUGUUGAUAGAAUUUCCAAGCCUUCGGUCUCCAUCAUUCGGUCACCAAAUCGGAUGAGUGAGGUAUGGUUUUCUAGCUAUUUUUCGUGACUUAGCUGCUGGUUAGGUAGGAUUCCAGGAAUUUCUAGCGUAGAUACACUGAUUUUCGAUUUAGGUUUCAACCGAUUUUGAGAGUGCGAUUCCGGCCACUUCCGGCUAAUUUUGGGGUAGGUCCAGGAACAAUAGUGGCUUCAAAUUAUGUUCUAAACCUAGGGUAGGAAGUUGGGCUCAAGAUUUUAAAGUUUUGUGGUUGUCGGAAUUUAUCAAGCCACCCAUGAGCUGCCAGCACAUGUGGAGGAGCGUGGGCAGCAAGGUAGUGACCACAUUCGGUUCUAGAGUGAUCCCGGUGUUGUCAUGAGCGAGUAGGAAUUCGCGGAUCUUAAUUUGGACAACGUUUGAACCCCGAACGGAUAUCGCAUAUUGUGUGAUUUCCGAGUUCAAUACAGUUGAGCCUUUGGACCGUAACCAUCUUCAGAUAUGUUGUUUUAGACAUUUCCAGCAUCGUAUAGGAUUUGACAGAUUGUAAAUCGGAGUCCUGGAUUUUCCGAAAUCGCGAACCCGAGGUUUAGGUUUGCAAUAAUUAUCCAAUGGUAUGAUCGCGGUCAAUCCGACCGUCGGAUCGAGGUCAAACUUUCAGGACUUGUGUCCUAGGUAUUUUAAAAGCUCUAGGAGCUUACGGAUCAUAAUUGUAAGGUCGCGAGCCCACGGGGUCCCGGCUUGACUUUUUGGGACUUUAACGCUUUUGAGUCCCAAGGUACUUCUCAACCAUCUCAAAUGUAAGGAAAGCUUUUGUGGGUAUAGGAAACAUUUCUAAAUUAGUGCACACACUUCUAGGAGCCGGGGGUCAAGGUUUUAUUUAAAUGCUUGUACCGAGCAGUUUUAUUUAUUAAAUAUUCAUGAUGUUUAAUCAGACAUACGGG
rnacentral:lncRNA from 1 species